GCUUAGGGGGUAUUGUUUUUGAUAGGGAGGUUUGGCUCCGGGCAGAGAUUCACUUUGACUGGGGGCACAGAGAGUCUGCCUGUAUCUGUCUUCCCUGUAUCCCAUAAGGAAUCAGGGAUUGAGGACAAGUCAAUGGUAGGUUCUGACACAUGGCUGGGCAUAGUGAGAGUUGCCAGAACAUUUGAAAGAGAUAUCAUUUGUUUGUCCUCUAAAGGCACAGACAAUGUUACUUUUCCAGUGGGGCUAUACUGGAUAUUUGCACUAAGAGGAGACAGUAUCUACUGCCUAGUAGAUUAGCAGGGGCAUGAGGGCUGUGUGGUGACAUUCUGUCAUCAAACUAAUAUGGUGACCAGGGGUCAUGUGACCAAGCUCAUGUUUACUUUUCUUACAGUGGGAUAAGCUUUACCCUUUUGAAAUGUUAAUUGGUAAUUCAAUACCUUUACAAGUCAGGAAAGAGAGAACCACUUUCUCCAUUCCUCUCUGUUCCUUCUUGGCUGUGCUACUGAGCAGUCCCUUAAGCAGACAUGGGCUAAUUUCUAUCAUGGUGAACUGUGAUUGGGAUCUGGUGAUUUUAUAAGAUGUAGUUGUUCUUGUUAGUUAGGUUGUUGUUGCUGUUAUUGUUGGUAUAGUUAGUUAGAU